rnacentral:rRNA from 1 species
AUGAAGGGCAGGAGGCAGAGCAUGGUGCCGGACGGGGGCUGCAGCGCCAGCAAGAUGGAGCGCAAGGACGUGGAGAAGAACCGCAGGCUGCACAUGAAGGGCCUCUGCCUCAAGCUCUCCUCCCUCGUCCCGCCCUCCUCCGCACACCACCUCCGACACUAUUCUUCUACUUCUUCCUCACCACCGUCCAGCAACAAGGACGCGGCGACGCAGCUGGACCAGCUGGACAGCGCCGCGGCGUACAUCAAGCAGCUCCGGGGCCGGAUCGACCACCUCAAGCGCCGCAAGCAGGCCGCCCUCUCCGGCGGCACGGCCGGCUGCUCCUCCUCCGUCUCCGCCGGCGACUACAAGUCACAGACGGCCUCGCUGCCGGUGAUCGAGGUUCGGCACCAGGACGGGACGCUCGACGUGGCGCUGGCGAGCGAAUCCGGGCGGCCGUUCCGGCUGCACGAGGUGAUCGCCGUGCUGGAGCAGGAGGGCGCCGAGGUGGUCAGCGCCAGCUUCUCGGUCGUCGGCGACAAGAUCUUCUACACGGUCCAUUCCCAGGCGAUGUGCCCCCGCAUCGGCCUCGAGCCCGGCAGGGUCGCCCACCGGCUCCGCGGCCUCGCCGCAGCCGCAGCCGCCACCGUCUCGUCGUCGGUCCUCCUGACAUGA